UGCACCCAUUUGCAUAUUCUUCUGGUAUAGCAACCCCAACAGAGACUUUGGAGGUUUUCAAAGUGGGGCACCUCGAUUUCUCGAAUCUGUGGUGUGGCGAGUACCCGUGUUCCGCUGGUUUAACUAGCCUGUUUGAAGGCACAGUUCAUUAUCAAGCAAGAACAACGAAACCAGCCCUCUUCACCUCCUGGAUUUUUUUUUUUUUUUUUCCUCUUGCCAUCUUCAGAAGAGUCUAACUCCAGAAAGAAACUUCAGAUUGGCCAAGAUAUUUAACACACAUAAUAAACCCAUGAAAAAAUGAACAGGACUAAGAUGAAGAUCAGUGCUUGCUGCCAAACUUGAUGACCCCUGGAACCCACAUGAAACAAAGAGAAUGGACUCCAGAAAGCUGUCCUCAGAUCUUCACAAACUCACUGUGGCAUAUGUUGCAGGCCCCUAUAUAGCCGUGCACACAAUGCAUUAAAAUUGUUUUAAAAAAA